rnacentral:rRNA from 1 species
CAGUCGCCACGGUAAUACGUAGGUGGCAAGCGUUGUCCGGAAUUAUUGGGCGUAAAGGGCUCGCAGGCGGUUUCUUAAGUCUGAUGUGAAAGCCCCCGGCUCAACCGGGGAGGGUCAUUGGAAACUGGGAAACUUGAGUGCAGAAGAGGAGAGUGGAAUUCCACGUGUAGCGGUGAAAUGCGUAGAGAUGUGGAGGAACACCAGUGGCGAAGGCGACUCUCUGGUCUGUAACUGACGCUGAGGAGCGAAAGCGUGGGGAGCGAACAGGAUUAGAUACCCGCGUAGUCCCUGUCUCUUAUAC